GUGGAGUGCCAAGAAAUACACACCGGUCUAUAAGUCACAAUUAUUUUUGAAAUAUGGUGCUACCAAUUCAUGCAACAAGAAGCAAAAU